CAGCAGUGGGGAAUUUUGGACAAUGGGCGAAAGCGUGAUCCAGCAAUGCCGCGUGCAGGAUGAAGGCCUUCGGGUUGUAAACUGCUUUUGUACGGAACGAAAAGCUUUGGGUUAAUACCCAGGAGUCAUGACGGUACCGUAAGAAUAAGCACGGGCUAACUACGUGCCAGCAGCCGCGGUAAUACGUAGGGUGCAAGCGUUAAUCGGAAUUACUGGGCGUAAAGCGUGCGCGGGCGGUUUUGUAAGACAGAGGUGAAAUCCCCGGGCUCAACCUGGGAACUGCCUUUGUGACUGCAAGGCUAGAGUACGGCAGAGGGGGGUGGAAUUCCGCGUGUAGCAGUGAAAUGCGUAGAUAUGCGGAGGAACACCGAUGGCGAAGGCAACCCCCUGGGCCUGUACUGACGGUCAUGCACGAAAGCGUGGGGAGCAAACAGGA
rnacentral:rRNA from 1 species